AAGCGUUGUUCGGAAUUACUGGGCGUAAAGGGCUCGUAGGUGGCCCCAUAAGUCAGACGUGAAAUCCCUCGGCUCAACCGAGGAACUGCGUCUGAGACUGCGGGGCUUGAAUCCGGGAGAGGGAUGCGGAAUUCCAGGUGUAGCGGUGAAAUGCGUAGAUAUCUGGAGGAACACCGGUGGCGAAGGCGGCAUCCUGGACCGGUAUUGACACUGAGGAGCGAAAGCCAGGGGAGCAAACGGG
rnacentral:rRNA from 1 species